rnacentral:rRNA from 1 species
CUACGGGAGGCAGCAGUGGGGAAUUUUCCGCAAUGGGCGAAAGCCUGACGGAGCGACGCCGCGUGGAGGAAGAAGUUUUUCGGAAUGUAAACUCCUUUUGUCAGGGACGAAAAAAAUGACGGUACCUGAAGAAUAAGCAUCGGCUAACUACGUGCCAGCAGCCGCGGUAAUACGUAGGAUGCAAGCGUUGUUCGGAAUUACUGGGCGUAAAGCGUAUGUAGGCGGUUAUGUAAGUCUUUUAUUAAAGACCGAGGCUCAACCUCGGGAGUGUAAAGGAAACUGUAUAACUAGAGGUCAGAAGGGGAAAUCGGAAUUCUUAGUGUAGCGGUGAAAUGCGUAGAUAUUAGGAAGAACACCGGUGGCGAAAGCGGAUUUCUGGUCUGAAACUGACGCUGAGAUACGAAGGUGUGGGGAGCAAACGGGAUUAGAAACCCCGGUAGUCC